CCUUACACAAUGCUGUUCUGCUGUUUACUGAUGGCUCCUCUAAAGGGCGAGCUGGAUUUCUUAUAAGUAAUCAAGAGGUAAUCAUAAAGACUCCUGGCAUCUCAGCUCAAUUAGCAGAAUUAACUGCAGUACUGAAUGUCUUUCAGUCUGUGUGUGAGGCUUUUAAUAGAUAGUUUAUAUGUUGCACAAUCGGUACCCUUAUUGGAGAUCUGUGGCACGUUUAACUUUAAUACACCAGCAAAAUCCCUGUUUUCACAAUUGCAAAAUGUAAUUCUUGUCCGAAAACACCCGUUCUAUAUUGGCCACAUAUGAUCUCAUUCUGGUCUUCCUGGACCUGUAGCUGAAGGCAAUGAUUGCAUAGACAGGACUCUAAUAGGAGAAACCUUAAUUUCAGAUCCUGUUGCUUUAGCCAAAUGUGAUCAUGAAAAAUUUCAUCUCUCUAGCCAUACCUUGAGGCUCUGACAUAAGAUCACUAAGGAGUAGGCAAGAAUGAUUGUAAAACAAUGUUGUAAAUGUAUUACAUUACCUCUAGUGCCACAAUUAGGAGUUAAUCCACGAGGUCUUAUGUCUAAUCAUAUUUAGCAAAUUAAUGUAACUCAUUAUGCAGAAUUUGGAAAAUUAAAAUAUAGACAUGUUUGUAUUGAUACUUGUUCAGGAUUUCUUUUUGCUUCUCUGCAUACUGGAGAAGCCUCCAAAAAUGUAAUUGAUCAUUGCCUAUAAGCCUUUAAUGCCAUGGGAUUGCCUAAACUUAUUAAGACAGAUAACAGGCCAUCCUAUUCUAGCAAAAAUUUUACUUCAUCUUGUAAAGAAUUUAGCAUCAAACAUAAAACUGGAAUUCCUUAUAACCCCAUGGGACAAGAAAUAGUUGAAUGUGCUCAUCGCACUUCAAAAAAUUGGCUUUUAAAAACAAAACAAGGGCAAUUAUAUCCCCCAAGGUCACCAAAGGCACAUCUUGCUUUUGCUUUAUUUGUUCUAAAUUUUUUGCAAACUGAUGUUAAAGGUCAGUCUGCGGCUGAUCGCCACUGGCAUCCAGUUACUUCUAGUUCUUAUGCCAUGGUAAAGUGGCGGGAUCCAUUAACUAACAAAUGGAAGGGUCCAGACCUGGUCCUAAUCUGGGGAAGGGGCUCGGUCUGUGUUUUUUCACAAAAAGAAGAUGGAGCGCAAUGGCUGCCUGAGAGAUUAGUUUGUCAACUGGACACAGAUCCUGAAUCUUCUAGGAAGUAUGACUCUAACAUUGAUUAUGGCUAAAAAUCCUCUUUAACCAAAAAGUUAAAUUGAAGCACAGCCUCCACUCCCAGGGAAGCUGUAGCCUUUCUGCAAUUCUCAAAGUCACCUCCCCCACACCAGGAACUCUAAGUCUAAGCCUGAUCGUUGCUAAUUUGCAAUUGAAUGGAGUACCUGGACUUCCCCAAAAGAAGCUUUUGUACUGUGCCUUCACUGUCUCAAUUUUGUUUUUCAAGCAGGUCACUCAACACCUUUCAGCCUGACUGCAGCAGGUGUACAGCCUCCCUCCAACAGCGCAGGUGGCAGUUAUUAAUCUGCAUGAAGAAACAUUCUAAAUACUGCUACCUGCUGAGAGGCCCCCGGAGCUAUUCCGGAGACUACGCCCUACCCUGCACAUCAUCACCUGCAGCUGGUUCCAGGCUCCAAGGAUGAAUUAGCGGGAAUGCAGUUUCCAUUAAAUAUGUGAACCUUGAAUAGA